rnacentral:rRNA from 1 species
UAGCCGCAAUAUUUUGUGCUAAGGUAGCAUAAUCAUUAGUUCAUUAAUUAUGAAAUAGAAUGAAUGAUUACACGAAUAAAUUAAUUUUUUUAUUACCUCUAAAUAAAUUCAUUUUAAAGUUAAAAAGCUUUAUUUAUCAAGAAGGACAACAAGACCCUGAUGAACUUCAACUUCAAGUUUAACUGGGGCGGUUUCCAAGAACAUCUUAAUCCAUAUUUUACUCCAACCAGAAUGUAUUUGAUUCAUCCAAGUUACCACAGGGAUAACAGCAUAAUAAAUUUUUCAAGUUCUUAUACAAAAAUAUUUUUAUGACCUCGAUGUUGAAUUAAAUACCUAAUCUAAGCAAGAUUAGAAAUUUUAGGAAGUCUGUUCGACUUUUAAUUUUUUACAUGAU